rnacentral:rRNA from 1 species
UACGUAGGGGGCGAGCGUUAUCCGGAUUUAUUGGGCGUAAAGAGCGUGUAGGCGGCCAGGUAGGUCGGUUGUGAAAACUGGAGGCUCAACCUUCAGACGUCGACCGAAACCAUCUGGCUAGAGUCUGGGAGAGGAGAGUGGAAUUCCUGGUGUAGCGGUGAAAUGCGCAGAUAUCAGGAAGAACACCCGUGGCGAAAGCGGCUCUCUGGAACGGUACUGACGCUGAGACGCGAAAGCGUGGGGAGCGAACAGG